UUCACUGCAGGUUACCAUGUUCCCAUGAGCAUUUUGGUCUAUAACCAUGGAGUUGGUUUGUUGUAUUUUGGUAACAGGUGAAUUGGUUCAUAGAUGCAUUGGUUCUAUUAUACCUUGGUCUUAUGGUUUGAAAAUAUGCAGGGCUUUCAAUAAGACCAAGUUGCUUGUUCAUUUGGCUUGGAGCAGCAGGGCUUAAAUGCAAGACCUGUUUGAUGUAAAUGAGGUUUUGUACCAGCUGGAUGAAUCAAAAUCAAAGGCGAGGUAGUCAUGAUCAAGGUUGACUUAUCCAUCAGUUCAUGCUUUUUGAUGAUGAAAUAUUAUAAUGCAUCCUUGCCCUGUGUCUGCUUGAGGUUCAAGGCAAUGCUAACUGAUUUUACAUGUUGUUGUUGCUGCUGAUGCAGGUUGAGCACUACAAUGGUUUUGCUAGCAGGAUAGUGCAUAAAUCUUGACUGAAGUAUGUCAUGUCACACAUUUGGAUUCAUCAGUUCCUUUUGGCACGAUGUCGUUGCUCCAUGUUUAGCACUUUGGUUCUGGUUUGGGUAUGUUUAUGUAGGUUCAAUGACUGGACUGGUUCAACAUAUCUGCUUCUGCCUUCAUUGGGACUUAAUGCAGGAUGGUAUUGAUGAUGGUCGGCUAUAGUAGUCCUCUUGUUUGAGAUGCAAGGUGCAGGCUAUAACAUGAUAGAGAUGUAUGCCAACACUAGCUGAUGUAUCAUGCACCAUCUGUU
rnacentral:lncRNA from 1 species